rnacentral:lncRNA from 1 species
AUGGACUUGGAGAGCAUUCAUCGAAACUGCUUUUUAUUCUCCUUGAAUGCAGAACUAAGCAUUGCAAGUGAGGCAACCACAGGUGCAUGGAAGAAGAACUGGCCACUACAGGAAGAAACAUUGAAACAUCUCAUUCAUGAGUGGGAUCAAAUUUGCUUAACGCCUGCCAAGCCUCCACCAGGAAAGGAAUUGCCAACAGCCACUGGAGUUAAAGAUGAAGAUUUGAGCGAGCAUGGGAAAAUGCAGGGAGGCAGCAGAGGAAGCAGCUGUGGUGGCUGA